UACAGAGGGUGCGAGCGUUGUCCGGAAUCACUGGGCGUAAAGGGCGCGUAGGCGGCCUGAUAAGUAGGGGGUGAAAUCUUGCGGCUCAACCGCAAGGCUGCCUUCUAAACUGUCAGGCUGGAGCACGGUAGAGGCAGAUGGAAUUCCCGGUGUAGCGGUGGAAUGCGUAGAGAUCGGGAAGAACACCAGUGGCGAAGGCGGUCUGCUGGGCCGUUGCUGACGCUGAGGCGCGACAGCGUGGGGAGCAAACGGG
rnacentral:rRNA from 1 species